rnacentral:snRNA from 1 species
GAAUGUGAGAGUGUUUUGGCUGUGACAUCUGUCACCCCAUUGAUUGCCAGGGUUGAUUUGGCUGAUGUAGUUGGCUAGGCGUGUGUUCCCUUCCUCCCUCUCCACGUGCAUGUCUCCCCAAGUUGUGCACUUGGUUGAAAAGGAUGAACAUCCUCGCUAGAGAAGGACUGACCGUUCUUCGGUCAAAGGUAUGCAAGUAGCUGCACUCUCUGCUAGAAUCUCCAGACAAGCUCUCAUGGUCCAUAAGAUUCCAAGCAGAAAUGGUAGCUUAUAAGUCACUUCAAAGGUAAAACACAAAGAUUUUUU